UCUGCCACGUUCCUUGACAAAAGGAAAAUAUUCAACAUCUCUCUCUCUCUCUCGGUGCAUGUAUUUGCGCUCUCAGUGAGUGCAUGCAUGUAUGGCCUGCAUCUCUUCUUAUUGUUUCUCAACGGACAACGCAGUGUAAAAUGACUAAUAUUGUAGGUGAUGAAUCUUCCUGAUUGCCUUAAGUUUUGUUGGUUAUUUGCAUAUCUUCUUCCCUGGUGUUUUUUUGAAUGAAAACUUAUUCAUGUAGGACUCAAAAUUAAUGAACAAGAUCUAACAUGCAAAGUGUAGCUACAAAAUGUAGAGAUUCUGCUCUUGUUGCAAUUGGAUGUAGCACAUUUGUUCUUUUAUUUACUCACAGCGCUAUUUGAAUUCCCCUUCAUUGUGGCUAUAACUUACCAUUAGAAUAUGCUAAUAUCUGGGAGCCAUUAUGCAAUUAUUAUUGUUAUUGUUAUUGUUUUAUGUCAUUUUAUUUUCCACCUUCCUGCAAUAGAUGUUGCUAUCUCCAGUGCAUCAGCGAUUUUUAAAGCUUGCAUCUGUCACUCUCACUAAAGUCUUUAUUCAUCUACUACAUUUUAAGUGUGAAGAUUCAAGUUAAUUCACAUGUGGUCUCAGUAAUAGCAUUAUCCCAUCGCAACAGACCCCACUGAAACCAUUGUUGACCAUUAUAAUGGUUAUAAUGGCCAUUAUUCGCCUUGAAAAAGUAUUAUUUUAAAUUUUUAUUAUUAAAAUAGUCUCUGUUAUAAGGUUCUAAAUGGCAAUGUCAGCAAAGUAAUGGUGUUAUUUUUCAUAUUUUUUCAGAUGGUACAAUCUAUUUUUGGAGGGAAAUUUGAUGCAAAAAAUUUAAAUUUUGAAAAAGUUGAUUUUUAUUUACAGAAAAGUACAAGUGAAAAAUAAUGGCCUUGCAUUAUAAUGGAUUGUUAUAACACUAUAUAAUGCAUUAUAACAGCCAUUAUCUCUCCCUGCUAUUAUGUGUAUAUAAACACAAUGGAACUUCAUGGAUGUGCCAUGCUUAGAACUUGGGAGUUUCAAUAUAUAGUAGAACAGGUAACAUAGUGGAGGGGGUUCGAAGCAAUUAUAAGCAGCCAUUUUUUCUAAACCUUUGUAACAAUUAAGCUUUUCCAUGAAUUAUUUACAGUUUUUAUUGCUUUUUUAAUUUAUUAAGAUUUUAGAUAGCGAAGAACUUAGGAUUCUUUGUCGCACAUUUAAUGAGGAAAAAGAGAACUUGUCUUCUAUUGAUGAUUAGUAGAUGUUAAUGAACGUUCAAAAGUCCAUUCUUUCACACCGCAUGGAAUAUAAUGUUUUUCCUUCUUUUUUUUUUUAUUUCAGAAUUCCAGUCUGAUUAUGCACAAAAGGAAAAGGGAAAACCUCAUUACUAUUUUCUACAUGAAUAGGGCCAUUGCACCUGGUGUGUUAGAUUCUGAUUUAUUUGGACUUCAGACCCUGCCUGCGACAUGUUAUGCAUAUGACUCGUACAUGGGACUCAACUAUGUCAAUGAUUCCCAAAGUUGGCGAUACUAUUUGGGGUGGUCUAGAUUAGUCACCAGAAGAGGGUAUGACUGCAACAUUAAGAGGCAGAAGAAUCAUGAUUCUCAUGUUUAUCGUGGUGCUAAUGCAGAGGCUUGUUGUCAAUUGCAUGGUGUCAACUAUGGCAGGAUCAUGCGUUUUGGAAAGGAUGCAGCAGAGACACCUUCAGCCAAGAUUGAGCGGAUAGAUUUCCAGGGAGGCCCUCUCGGUCGAAACGCCAGUGGUCCCGAUAGAAAGAGGCACUGAUCUCCAUGCAACAAGAUCUAGGGGUGAAGCCAUACUCGAUGACUCCGCCGCCAUUGAUGAGGAUCUGG